rnacentral:rRNA from 1 species
UACGUAGGGUGCGAGCGUUGUCCGGAAUUAUUGGGCGUAAAGAGCUCGUAGGCGGUCUGUCGCGUCGGUCGUGAAAACUUGGGGCUUAACCCUGAGCUUGCGGUCGAUACGGGCAUGACUGGAGUUCGGUAGGGGAGACUGGAAUUCCUGGUGUAGCGGUGAAAUGCGCAGAUAUCGGGAGGAACACCAGUGGCGAAGGCGACUACCUGGCCUGUUCUUGACGCUGAGGCGCGAAAGCUAGGGGAGCAAACGGG